rnacentral:rRNA from 1 species
AGAUUAAGUUAUUAAGGGCGCACGGUGGAUGCCUUGGCACUAGAAGCCGAUGAAGGACGUUACUAACGACGAUAUGCUUUGGGUAGCUGUAAGUAAGCGUUGAUCCAGAGAUUUCCGAAUGGGGGAACCCAGCAUGAGUUAUGUCAUGUUAUCGACAUGUGAAUUCAUAGCAUGUCAGAAGGCAGACCCGGAGAACUGAAACAUCUUAGUACCCGGAGGAAGAGAAAGAAAAAUCGAUUCCCUGAGUAGCGGCGAGCGAAACGGGAAGAGCCCAAACCAACAAGCUUGCUUGUUGGGGUUGUAGGACACUCUAUACGGAGUUACAAAAGAACAUGUUAGACGAAUCAUCUGGAAAGAUGAAUCAAAGAAGGUAAUAAUCCUGUAGUCGAAAACAUAUUCUCUCUUGAGUGGAUCCUGAGUACGACGGAGCACGUGAAAUUCCGUCGGAAUCUGGGAGGACCAUCUCCUAAGGCUAAAUACUCUCUAGUGACCGAUAGUGAACCAGUACCGUGAGGGAAAGGUGAAAAGUACCCCGGAAGGGGAGUGAAAGAGAACUUGAAACCGUGUGCUUACAAGUAGUCAGAGCCCGUUAAUGGGUGAUGGCGUGCCUUUUGUAGAAUGAACCGGCGAGUUACGAUCUGAUGCAAGGUUAAGCAGCAAAUGUGGAGCCGCAGCGAAAGCGAGUCUGAAUAGGGCGUUGAGUAUUUGGUCGUAGACCCGAAACCAGGUGAUCUACCCUUGGUCAGGUUGAAGUUCAGGUAACACUGAAUGGAGGACCGAACCGACUUACGUUGAAAAGUGAGCGGAUGAACUGAGGGUAGCGGAGAAAUUCCAAUCGAACUUGGAGAUAGCUGGUUCUCUCCGAAAUAGCUUUAGGGCUAGCCUCAAGUGAUGAUUAUUGGAGGUAGAGCACUGUUUGGACGAGGGGCCCCUCUCGGGUUACCGAAUUCAGACAAACUCCGAAUGCCAAUUAAUUUAACUUGGGAGUCAGAACAUGGGUGAUAAGGUCCGUGUUCGAAAGGGAAACAGCCCAGACCACCAGCUAAGGUCCCAAAAUAUAUGUUAAGUGGAAAAGGAUGUGGCGUUGCCCAGACAACUAGGAUGUUGGCUUAGAAGCAGCCAUCAUUUAAAGAGUGCGUAAUAGCUCACUAGUCGAGUGACACUGCGCCGAAAAUGUACCGGGGCUAAACAUAUUACCGAAGCUGUGGAUUGUCCUUUGGACAAUGGUAGGAGAGCGUUCUAAGGGCGUCGAAGCAUGAUCGCAAGGACAUGUGGAGCGCUUAGAAGUGAGAAUGCCGGUGUGAGUAGCGAAAGACGGGUGAGAAUCCCGUCCACCGAUUGACUAAGGUUUCCAGAGGAAGGCUCGUCCGCUCUGGGUUAGUCGGGUCCUAAGCUGAGGCCGACAGGCGUAGGCGAUGGAUAACAGGUUGAUAUUCCUGUACCACCUAGUAUCGUUUUAAUCGAUGGGGGGACGCAGUAGGAUAGGCGAAGCGUGCUGUUGGAGUGCACGUCCAAGCAGUAAGGCUGAGUGUUAGGCAAAUCCGGCACUCAUAAGGCUGAGCUGUGAUGGGGAGAGGAAAUUGUUUCCUCGAGUCGUUGAUUUCACACUGCCGAGAAAAGCCUCUAGAUAGAUAACAGGUGCCCGUACCGCAAACCGACACAGGUAGUCAAGAUGAGAAUUCUAAGGUGAGCGAGCGAACUCUCGUUAAGGAACUCGGCAAAAUGACCCCGUAACUUCGGGAGAAGGGGUGCUCUUUAGGGUU